CUUUUCAGCGUCCCACCCAUCUCCGACCAGCAACAAUAACACAUCGCACACCGCGGACAGUUGGAACGAGUGUGUUCAACCAUUUGCACCAGAAAUGGAGCAUGUAUGUGGCAGGCCAUUGGGACUACGGUUUGAUAAAAAAACUGGAGAUCUUUAUAUUGCUGAUGCCUACUUCGGCCUUCAAGUAGUAGGGCCAAAUGGAGGUUUGGCUACUUAGAUUCUGUUUAAACAAAAUUUAAGCUCUGCAUUUUUUAUUAGUUAUCUUACUGAUUUUUGUUACAAAUUGAUGAUGUUGGCAUGGAUACAAUGAUGUUUUUGAGCCAGAUUGAUGAUAUUUGCAUGGGCGCAAUUUACAUUAUAUUUUUGUUUAUAGAAAACAUAUAGACUUGAUAUGUUUUGUAUCAUUCUUGUUUGUUUUUUUUUUUUUUUUUUUUUUAAUUUAGAUUUUAAGUGUUGGUUUGGAUAGUAUAUUUAUUUGUUGGAUUAUACUACGUUUAUGGAUUUUUAUUUUCUUUGAUAUGUACGGUUAAUAGUUAGGUUU